rnacentral:rRNA from 1 species
UACGGAAGGUCCGGGCGUUAUCCGGAUUUAUUGGGUUUAAAGGGAGCGUAGGCCGCUUUGUAAGCGUGUUGUGAAAAAUACCGGCUCAACCGGUAUCCUGCAGCGCGAACUGCCUGGCUUGAGUGUGCGCAACGUUGGCGGAAUUCGUCGUGUAGCGGUGAAAUGCUUAGAUAUGACGAAGAACUCCGAUUGCGAAGGCAGCUGACGGGAGCACAACUGACGCUGAAGCUCGAAAGUGCGGGUAUCGAACAGGAUUAGAUACCCUGGUAGUCCGCACGGUAAACGAUGGAUGCCCGCUGUUUGCCCAUAGUUGCAAGCGGCCAAGCGAAAGCGUUAAGCAUCCCACCUGGGGAGUACGCCGGCAACGGUGAA